AUGCAAUGAUGAGUGAAGUAUAGUCUGACCUGGUAUUGCCAUUGCUCCGGCACUGGCUCUGACCAGGGCAUGAUCCCUUAAUCUUCUCUCUGAGCUG
ensembl:snoRNA Snord7 small nucleolar RNA, C/D box 7